AAAGAAGAAAACGAUUCGACGGACGCUCUCUCUCCCGCACGAAAACGAGAGACGCCCGGCGCUAGGGUUCCCUCCGCCGCCGCGCCCUAUCCCUCCGCUCCCGGCAACCCUCGCUACUCUCUCCCAUCCCCUUGCAGUCGCCGUCGUAGUCCCCCGCCGUUGAUCACGGCGGAGACAGCUUCUGUCGCGCGGCCAGGUGGAGCAGGGUCAACGCGGCGGCUGGAUCGACGGUGGCGGCUGGAGCUUGCAGAACGGCGCCGCUGGAGGUCAACGCGGCGGCUCGAGCGGCUGGGGGCGGCGCGGCUACUCGAUGUAGAGCGGCGGGGGCGGCUGGAUCGGCGAUGGCGGCUGGGGUUUGCAGAACGGCGGCGGCGGAGGCUGGAGCUUGUAGAUCGGCGGGCCAACCUGAGCAACAGCUCCAAGGAGGACGCCACCAGGUGCCUGGUCUGGCUGGGGGACCUCAUCAAUGCCAAGAAGUUGGGAGGCAGUGCUGCUGGCAGCGAUACGCUGGACCUCCCUGUCGCCGGCGUGGCUACUGCAGGUCCAAAGACACAGUGUACUAUGCUCAUGCAUAUGUGACAUAAACCAAUUCUGCAUUAUGCUGCUCAGUGCUCGCAAAUACUGCAAAAUUACUAGGCCUAGGAGAUUUGAGCGCUUGUGAAGGUUUUGGGACACGAAGCCCCAUUGAAGGUUUUGAAUUUUCAAAGCUUCAAAGAUGUUGCAGCUAUGAGAAACAAUUUUCACCCAUCACAUAUGAUCGGACAAGGUGGUUUUGGCAACGUCCAAUGUCGUCGCCGUGGAGUUCACUGGAAGAAGAACAUCGGUCGAGCAUUCCAAUGUCGCCUCUGCCGAGUUCGCCACCGAGCCAUCCAAUGUCGCCUCUGCUGAGUUCGCCGGAGGAAGAACAUCCGCCGUCCGAACGUGCUACACCAGAGGUAUGUAUCAGCUUUUCCCAAAUUAGUCCAACGUUGUGGUAUGUAUCAGCUUUUCCCAAAUUAGGCCAACUUUGUUGGAUAUUGCUUCAAUCAAAAACAAUCUGUGAAACCUGGGCGUGUACUAAUGUUUCCUGUACUUUUUUCUCUUUAAUCUGAGCAUCCAAUCUAUGAAAGCCGGGUGUUGCCUGUACAUUAUAUUACUCCAUUGUUUGCCAGUCCUUGUUUGAUUCCCUGUUUGCUCUCUGUUUGAUUCAAAUCCAUGACCAAAUAAGUUCAUGAACAGUUUUCUGCUUGCUCCCUGUUUGACUCAAGUCUUAAAGAUUCAUAUUUAGUUAGAUAGGUUCAGUGAUUCAGAAUAAUAUUUGAGAAGCUUCUCUGUUGGCUGGUAUCCCUGAUGGCAGUUGUAGAAAUGUAGCUAAGGAAAUAGUGCCUCAUAAUUCAUUGGAUGUAGAUCAUUAGGGUGUAAAAGACUUUGAGUUUCUAGCUUUCAUAAAAUCACGUGUACUCCCUCCGUCCCAUAAUGUAAGACCAUUUUGCAAGCUUAACAGUAUGUUGUGGUUGGUCCUUAAACUUGAACAAUAAGUGUGUCAAUUGAGGUUUAGGCCAUAUUUAAUUAGCAACUAAUUAUCCUGUGGCGCUUCGGCCCUAAUGUAUCCACAGUCUGACCAUUGGAUUGAAUAUCCAUCAGAAGAUUGUAGCCUUUCCUGACUCCAUGCCCUUUUCAAGUGGAGUUGCAGAAAUGCAGAGUAUGAAUGGGGAAACGAUAUAGAUGUCAACACCUACAGUAUGAUUUGUCUUGAUAGAGAUGCACUGGAUUCUCAAGUAGUUUUAAUGUUUUUUUCUAGAUAGCUCAAGUAAUUAAGCUUCUGCAAUUCAUGAAAAACAAAAAGAAGGUGUCAUGUCAGCUGCUCAAGCUAAUCAAGUAACAAAAAUAAAAGGGACCAGUAGUCAGGUUCCAUUAACCAAAUGUUUCACAUCUAUUAACCUGUAUCUUGAUUGAGAUGCACUGGGUUCACAAGUAGUUUUAGUGUUUUUUCUAGAUAGCUAACAAAAGGAAGGUGUUCUAUCAGCUGAUCAAGCUAAUUAAGUAAAAAGAGUUAAAGGGACCAGUAGUCAGGUUCAAUUAACCAAAUGCGCCACAUCUAUUAACCUGUACUCAUAGUAGCCUACGUUGUUCAAUAUUGCUUGGAGAUUUGCCCUUUUUUUACAAAUCAAAAUUAGUCUUUGUAACCUGGGCGUUUACUAAAGUUGUUUGCACUUUUUUCUGUUUUAUCUGGGUGUCCAAUCUCUGUAAGUUGGGCGUUGCUUGUAUUUUAUAUUAGGCGUUACCUAUACUUUAUAUUAGUCCAACGUUUGUCAGUCUGUGUUUAAUUCUCUGUUUGCUCCCUAUGGACAAAUAAGUUAUUUUUCUCCCAGUUUGAUUUAAGUCUGAAAUAUGCAUAGAUGCUACACUUCAGUCAGUAAAUGAACAAAAAACUAGGAGUGAUCUUUUAGUCAGUUUUGUGUCACCGAGUAAAUCUGUGCUCAAGAUUACAAUUACUUUGAACAGAGAAAUUAAGAAAAAUAUCUGGAAUCAUCAUCACCCCUUAACCGAUCCGGCGGCAGGAUGUAGAAAUCCAAUCUACUUGGUGGAGACAUACUGGCAUGUGAUGCCGUCCAACUAAUAGUCGUUAUAUGCCUUCCAUUGUGUUUGAAUUUUUUCUCUUGCAUUGCCUGGACUACCUGAUAGAAGCUCCUGUCAGCUAAUAUUACGACUAGAGCGGCAGGCAUGUCCAUAUUCGGUGCUGCCAGCGGCAAGCAAUACAGGGUAGGUUUUGUAAGUGCUAACAUGGUAAAUUAAUAGGGAUUAUCUAAUCUUUUUGUAUUAAGGAGUUCUAUAUGUUUGCAUCAUGCAAAGAUUAUUGUACUAUUAAUUAGGGGAAGUCUAUGCUGGAGAAGUCAAAGAGUAUCAUACUCAGGGUCAGUUACGUAGUUGGAAUAUUUGUAACCACACACUAACCUGAAAGUUAGGCACACUAAUUAAGUUUGAUUUUUUUUUUGAACAGAAGGAUUUUAUUAAUAUGGCAUUAAGCACACUUUACAAAUAGCAGCUCGAGUGGCUGAGCACUCAUUGCUGACAGCUCAUUACAGCAUGUCUAGCCUGAUGGUGUGCCUUGAAAUUCAGACUCCUGUGCACUUUUGAGUAUUCUGCAUGGAUGAAAUGAAGGCGUGGUCUGGAUAGCAGCUAAGCUUGGCCGGAUAGCCCACCGACCUGCUUUAGUAACAUCAGGCUCUACAACAGCUGAGGCAAGCACGGCAGAGUCUGUCAAAAACUUCAGAUUCUGCACAUGUAGUUGAGCUGCAAUCUUCACCGCCAACAGCAGUCCAUAAGCUUCUGCCUGCAGAGCUAAUGCUACUGGUGGCGACACAGCAGAGAUGUAUACAUGGUCGGUAUGUUGCCGGUUAAUUUGUAAGAAAACACCUAUGCCCGCCUUUGCUACAGCUUGUCCUGGCUCCAACGACCAAGCUGCAUCUGAGUAUAUUUGUGUACCUGAAAAAACUAUUGUAGACUGAGAAGUAACAACACUAGAGAGCUUUAGCUGUUCUGCUGACUGAUCUCCCUUCCGAGUUGAAUCGUGAACCUGUAACUCCUUAAUCAGUGAAAUGUACAAUGCACGAUAUCAAACUGUUCUUAUCUUUGUCA